GAGGGCAUACAGUCCUCGCUUUUCACUACCGUNAAGGUGGUAGUGGAAUAGAGCUGGGCAAGACCCGGUGCCAGCCGCCGCGGUAAUACCGGCAGCUCGAGUGAUGGCCGAUCUUAUUGGGCCUAAAGCGUCCGUAGCCGGCCACACAAGUCCAUCGGGAAAUCCGCCAGCCUAACUGGCGGGCGUCCGGUGGAAACUGUGUGGCUCGGGAUCGGAAGACCCAACGGGUACGUCUUGGGUAGGAGUGAAAUCCUGUAAUCCUGGACGGACCACCGAUAGCGAAAGCACGUUGGGAAGACGAAUCCGACGGUGAGGGACGAAAGCCAGGGUCUCGAACCGGAUUAGAUACCCGGGUAGUCCUGGCCGUAAACGAUGUCUGCUAGGUGUGGCUCCCACUACGAGUGGGUGCUGUGCCGUAGGGAAGCCGCUAAGCAGACCGCCUGGGAAGUACGUCCGCAAGGAUGAAACUUAAAGGAAUUGGCGGGGGAGCACUACAACCGGAGGAGCCUGCGGUUUAAUUGGACUCAACGCCGGACAUCUCACCAGCAUCGACAACAGCAAUGACGAUCAGGUUGAUGACCUUGUCAGAGCUGUUGAGAGGAGGUGCAUGGCCGCCGUCAGCUCGUACCGUGAGGCGUCCUGUUAAGUCAGGCAACGAGCGAGACCCGCACUCCUAAUUGCCAGCACCGGCUUCGGCCGGGUGGGUACAUUAGGAGGACUGCCGUGGCUAACACGGAGGAAGGAACGGGCAACGGUAGGUCAGUAUGCCCCGAAUGUGCUGGGCUACACGCGGGCUACAAUGGCCAAGACAAUGGGUUCCCACCUCGAAAGAGGGCGGUAAUCUCCUAAACUUGGUCGUAGUUCGGAUUGAGGGUUGAAACUCACCCUCAUGAAGCUGGAUUCGGUAGUAAUCGCGUGUCAGCAGCGCGCGGUGAAUACGUCCCUGCUCCUUGCACACACCGCCCGUCAAAGCACCCGAGUGGGGUCCGGAUGAGGCACGGUCAC
rnacentral:rRNA from 1 species